rnacentral:rRNA from 1 species
UACAGAGGGGGCGAGCGUUGUUCGGAAUUACUGGGCGUAAAGGGCGCGUAGGCGGCCAACUAAGUCAGACGUGAAAUCCCUCGGCUCAACCGGGGAACUGCGUCUGAUACUGGAUGGCUUGAAUUCGGGAGAGGGAUGCGGAACUCCAGGUGUAGCGGUGAAAUGCGUAGAUAUCUGGAGGAACACCGGUGGCGAAGGCGGCAUCCUGGACCGAGAUUGACGCUGAUGCGCGAAAGCCAGGGGAGCAAACGGG